rnacentral:lncRNA from 1 species
UUCCAUCACAGGACACACUCCCACACACAUCCACACUCACUCAAACUGGGACAAUAGCCAAACCUGCUUGUCCUGGGAUCCUAGGGUUUUGUUCAGUCUGAAUACAAGAUUUCUUCUUCUAGCCAGACCAGCCUGGUGUUUUUUAUGGUAUUUCAAUUGUCUUACAGUUUGUCAACUUUAUAUCAUUUACUCAUCUUUUUGGCUGAUCUUCACAAUUAUCCUGAUAUUCCCAGAAGUGAGAUUACCUGAUAAAAGGACAGUAACACUUUUAGAUUCUUGAUAUGCUUUAGAAACUUCUUUCAAAAAAAUUACAUGAAAGUUGAUUUAAACCAUGUGAAGCAAAUCUGGUUCUAAGAAUUAAUGACACGUGUUUAUAGAUGGGUGGCAUUUGAGAAUCUACAGCAUGUGUCAGCAAACUUUUUUUAAAAGAGCUAGAUAGGGGUCUGCAGUUGGUUCCACAGUCUGCAGUCCUGUUACCAGGAGUAUGGGCAAGCAUGGUUUCUGCCAUGUCAUUUUGUUCUUGCUGCUCUCAAAAGCCUCAUCAAUUCUGUAGCCUUUCUCAUUCUUUUUUAUUUAUUUAUUUAUUUAUUUUUUGUCUUUUUCAUUAAUAAUUUUGUAGUGAUUACAUGUUGAAAUAAUGACAUUAUAAUUGGUUAAAUACAGGUUAGAAUGGCGAUCAUUAAAAAGUCAGGAAACAACAGGCGCUGGAGAGGAUGUGGAGAAAUAGGAACACUUUUACACUGUUGGUGGGACUGUAAACCAGUUCAACCAUUGUGGAAGACAGUGUGGCGAUUCCUCAAGGAUCUAGAACUAGAAAUACCAUUUGACCCAGCCGUCCCAUUACUGGGUAUAUACCCAAAGGAUUAUAAAUUAUGCUGCUAUAAAGACACAUGCACACAUAUGUUUAUUGCGGCACUAGUCACAAUA